GAUAAACGCUGGCGGCGCACAUAAGACAUGCAAGUUGAACGGACUUAAUCGAAAUAUUUAUAUUUUGAAGCGGUUAGUGGCGGACUGGUGAGUAACGCGUAAGGAACCUGCCUAUUAGAGGGGAAUAACAGUGAGAAAUCAUUGCUAAUACCGCAUAUGCCAUAGAUAUCACAUGAUAACAGUGGGAAAGGAGCAAUCCGCUAAUAGAUGGCCUUGCGUCUGAUUAGAUAGUUGGUGGGGUAACGGCCUACCAAGUCGACGAUCAGUAGCCGGACUGAGAGGUUGAACGGCCACAUUGGGACUGAGAUACGGCUCAGACUCCUACGGGAGGCAGCAGACGGGAAUAUUGCGCAAUGGAGGAAACUCUGACGCAGUGACGCAGCGUAUAGGAAGAAGGUUUUCGGAUUGUAAACUAUUGUCGUUAGGGAAGAGAAAGGACAGUACCUAAGGAGGAAGCUCCGGCUAACUACGUG
rnacentral:rRNA from 1 species